CACCACGGCCAAGCUGGUAUUUACGACAUGGCCAUCCUAUUCGUUCUGCCGAUGGAAUUGGCCGCCGCCGAUGAGAAGCGCCGCCGAGCCGCGCGGAAAGGCGACGGCGACGGAUGGAGAUGGGGUGGCGGCCGCUCCAUCCCACGCCGGCCUUCGCCACCGCCCUGCGCCACCUCGCGGAGCAGGGGGGUCAUGGUUGCUCAUCGUCGCUGGCGCCUGCGAGGAAGGAGGCGGCGGCCGGGCGCAUGUGCCCGACAGACGUGGCCACGGCGGCGCGACCUCGCCGGCUCGCCGGAAGUCAUUCAAGCGACCUUUUUCUGUGAAGGUGAAGCCAAGGCAGAAAAGAGUUCCAAUCUUUUUAGAGCACUGUACUUCAUGAAUGAUGAGUUGAAGCCACUGCUGCAAAUUUCAGCAGUUCUUUUACUGGAAAAUUUCAGCAGCUUUGUGAAGGCAGUGCCACAUGUUCUGGCUCAAUGUUGAGUUUUAGUAAUUGAGUGUGUCUGUGUGAAUUUGCUUGAGGCUCCAUCAUGCUGUUGUUCUAACCGUUGCGGUUGCCCAAUGCCAAAGAAAUUUUGAGUGCUGCUGGAUUGAAGGUGAUCAUGUCCUUCAAAGACAAUGCUACCGAUUUUGUAGGAUAACUUGUACGGGAAAUAGAUUGAUUAAUUUUUGAAGUCUUGUAAGGUUCUUGACAUCCAUGGUGCAAUGUAUGAUGCUAUUGCUAUCAAGCUACAACGAUUUUGGGUUGUCAUGCCAUUGAUGCCUGCCUCUAUCACCCAGAUUUUCCAGUUAGGAACAUUGAAGGUUGGAAUAGAACUCAAUCCUGCAUUUGAUUAUCCUGCCAAAUAUUGUUGCUGUUCUGAUAUGCAUCACUUCAUGUGCCUAGCAUGGUUGCCUCAUGGGGCAUGAUCCUUAUCUUUGAUUCCUUGGUGGAUAGCUAUUGCAUCUAUUUUAGGAUCAGCUGGGUUGGUUAAGUUGUGAGCCAUAACCAGUCAAUGUGUUGGGAAUUUAAGCCUAACCUAUACGCUUACAAUGUGUGUAUGAAGUA